rnacentral:rRNA from 1 species
GAUGAACGCUGGCGGCGUGCUUAACACAUGCAAGUCGAACGAUGAAGCCCAGCUUGCUGGGUGGAUUAGUGGCGAACGGGUGAGUAACACGUGAGUAACCUGCCCUUAACUCUGGGAUAAGCCUGGGAAACUGGGUCUAAUACCGGAUAGGAGCGCCUACCGCAUGGUGGGUGUUGGAAAGAUUUAUCGGUUUUGGAUGGACUCGCGGCCUAUCAGCUUGUUGGUGAGGUAAUGGCUCACCAAGGCGACGACGGGUAGCCGGCCUGAGAGGGUGACCGGCCACACUGGGACUGAGACACGGCCCAGACUCCUACGGGAGGCAGCAGUAGGGAAUAUUGCACAAUGGGCGAAAGCCUGAUGCAGCGACGCCGCGUGAGGGAUGACGGCCUUCGGGUUGUAAACCUCUUUCAGUAGGGAAGAAGCGAAAGUGACGGUACCUGCAGAAGAAGCACCGGCUAACUACGUG